rnacentral:misc_RNA from 1 species
UAUGAAGAACGUAGUGAAAUGCGAUACGUAAUGUGAAUUGCAGAAUUCAGUGAAUCAUCGAGUCUUUGAACGCACAUUGCGCCCCCUGGUAUUCCGGGGGGCAUGCCUGUCCGAGCGUCAUUGCUGCCCUCAAGCACGGCUUGUGUGUUGGGCCUCCGUCCUCCUCCCGGGGGACGGGCCCGAAAGGCAGCGGCGGCACCGCGUCCGGUCCUCGAGCGUAUGGGGCUUCGUCACCCGCUCUUGUAGGCCCGGCCGGCGCUUGCCGACACAUCAAUCUUUUUUCCAGGUUGACCUCGGAUCAGGUAGGGAUACCCGCUGAACUUAAGCAUAUCAAUAAGCGGAGGA